CUCAGCAAGCUCUGACUGUUGAAGAGACCUUUGACACACAGUAGAGGGAUAGUAAGUGCAUAUGUCCAUUGAGGGUUCCAUGAGGCAUAGCUCUGUUUAGCUAAAGCAGAGAGUCUAUCAGUACAUAUUCAGGGAGAAAGAGUAUCACAUUGGAGAGCCACAUGUGCGCACAGGGGAGAAAUGAUUGGAAUCAAAUAAAGUUACGCUGGAAGAAAUCCUUGGGCAAACCUGACUCAUGAGAAAAUGGAUACCUGAUGUUACCAGGUGAUGCCAAAGCCCAGGAUAGUGUUGGCACAACCACUGAAUUCUUUUUCUCCACAUGUAUCAAGGCCUAUUUAAUAUUGCUAACUUAAGCUUGGUUUCCCCUAUUUCCCAUAUAGAACUUAAUAACAUCAAGCCAUGGAAUAAAUAAGAGAAUUCA
ensembl:lincRNA Gm28214 predicted gene 28214